CAACCACCUGUCAUAUUUGACCAUUCUCCUCGCCUUUCUUCUUCUCUCUCUCCUCCAUUUACUUUUUCUCCAAAUCGAAACACACAAAGAGGAGAGACAGACACCUCUUCUCAGACUAAGGGAUUCUUUUCUUUGGUCGAGUUAGGAGGACCCAAAUUGACAAUAAUCGAAUCAAAGACACUUAAUUAUGUCGUGCGACAAGAUUGAUGGGCUCGCGAGGUGGUUCGGGACGAGUGUUGCUUCGGCAUUCUUUGCCUCGUUGGAGCGAUGCGCGUGCGUCAAUCUCACCACCUACGCAUCUGAUGAUGAGGAAGAGGAAGAAGCUAAAGAUCGCCCCUUGUUUAUGAACAAUUUGCCUUCUCAUGUUGAUCCUUGUCCUCACUCUAACAUUUCUGCCUCCUCCGUCGAUAAUUGACUCUCCUCUCCUCUCCUCUCCUCCCCUCUCCUGAUCUGGCAUCACCAACUUCAUCAUAUUAAUCCUUUGGCUCCAACGGAAAUGUAAUUCCGGUAUUAACUGUAAUAUUUAUUCUUUUUCUUCUUAUAGACCAUUUUUCCAUUCAAGUGUUGUAUGAGGUGUUUUUCCUUUGGUCAGUUUUGUUACAAGGUCAAACAUUUAAGCACGUACAAGACACCUUUUAUUGUUCCUUUACCUCGCAAUUCUUCAACAAGAGUUUUGCUUGCUCUAGGAAACUAGCAAAUGCCAGUAAGAGGCUGUUGUACUUCAUGCUAGCAGUGCAAAAUUGGCCCUCACUUGCCUUGGCAAAUGGCAACCUGUUCGAGGCAAUUAUAAAUUUGUGGUUGUAGGGUUAUACUAGAGUAAUAUUAUUUUUCAUUACUCUA